UACGAAGGGUGCAAACGUUGCUCGGAAUCAUUGGGCGUAAAGCGCACGUAGGCGGCUUCAAAAGUCGGAUGUGAAAUCCCACGGCUCAACCGUGGACGUGCAUCCGAAACUGGGAGGCUUGAGUACUGAAGAGGAUCGCGGAAUUCCCGGUGUAGAGGUGAAAUUCGUAGAUAUCGGGAGGAAUACCAGUGGCGAAGGCGGCGACCUGGGCCAAUACUGACGCUGAGGUGCGAAAGCGUGGGGAGCAAACAGG
rnacentral:rRNA from 1 species